rnacentral:tRNA from 1 species
GACCGGGUAGCUCAGUUGGUAGAGCAACGGACUUUUAAUCCGUAGGUCCUGGGUUCGAGCCCCAGCCCGGUCA